UACGAAGGGGGGCUAGCGUUGCUCGGAAUGACUGGGCGUAAAGGGCGCGUAGGCGGUUUGGACAGUCAGAUGUGAAAUUCCUGGGCUCAACCUGGGGGCUGCAUUUGAUACGUUCGGACUAGAGUGGGGAAGAGGGUCGUGGAAUUCCCAGUGUAGAGGUGAAAUUCGUAGAUAUUGGGAAGAACACCGGUGGCGAAGGCGGCGACCUGGUCCUUGACUGACGCUGAGGCGCGAAAGCGUGGGGAGCGAUCCGG
rnacentral:rRNA from 1 species